rnacentral:rRNA from 1 species
UGUAGAGUUUGAUCCUGGCUCAGAUUGAACGCUGGCGGCAUGCUUUACACAUGCAAGUCGAACGGCAGCGCGGGGCAACCUGGCGGCGAGUGGCGAACGGGUGAGUAAUAUAUCGGAACGUACCCAAGAGUGGGGGAUAACGUAGCGAAAGUUACGCUAAUACCGCAUACGAUCCAAGGAUGAAAGUGGGGGAUUCGCAAGAACCUCAUGCUCCUGGAGCGGCCGAUAUCUGAUUAGCUAGUUGGUGAGGUAAAGGCUCACCAAGGCGACGAUCAGUAGCUGGUCUGAGAGGACGACCAGCCACACUGGAACUGAGACACGGACCAGACUCCUACGGGAGGCAGCAGUGGGGAAUAUUGCACAAUGGAGGAAACUCUGAUGCAGCCAUGCCGCGUGCAGGAAGACUGCCCUAUGGGUUGUAAACUGCUUUUAUACAGGAAGAAACACUCUCACGUGUGAGAGCUUGACGGUACUGUAAGAAUAAGGAUCGGCUAACUCCGUGCCAGCAGCCGCGGUAAUACGGAGGAUCCAAGCGUUAUCCGGAAUCAUUGGGUUUAAAGGGUCCGUAGGUGGAUAAUUAAGUCAGAGGUGAAAGUUUGCGGCUCAACCGUAAAAUUGCCUUUGAUACUGGUUAUCUUGAAUCAUUGUGAAGUGGUUAGAAUAUGUAGUGUAGCGGUG